AAACGUAAGAAGCCAUCAUCACACCUGAGAACCCAUUUUCCAAAGGCAUAUGGUUUUUUAUCAAAGGUCUGUUUUCUAAUACCCACUGUGGGGUAUAUAAGAUGCACUUUCCACAGCGGAUCUUAAGAGGAUUGCGGAUAAGUCGCAGUGUCCCAAAACCUGUGACUUGGACUAUAAGCCUGUGUGUGCCUCCCGAAUCGGAGGCAAUACUCCCAGUACUUGCACCUUUCCCAACCAUUGCACCCUAAAACUGUAUCUAUGCAACAGCAAAUUGGACUGGUCAAUGGACAGCAAUCAGCCCUGUCAAUGGCCCGUUGGAAGCUGCGAAGAAAUCGCAAAUUUCUUACGCAAGAAAAAGGAUCUAUUGGUGGGGAAAUCAAAGAAAGUUGUUACUGAGAACAAAAAGAAAAAGAAGAAAAAUUGAAUAAAUGAUUAAGCAUUUAGAAACCCAGAUUAAGCUGCAAUGAAGACGUCGGCUGUCAAAUGUUACCACUAACUUAGCCACUCGUGUUCAGCAACAGAUGCAAUCGCCUCGCACAGCGGGCCCCCGCCAAGAAAUAUAUAUAUUUAUCUGGGUAGUAUGGGAAUAUCUUUCCCUAGGCAUUGCAACUUGGAGACGUCAACGUCAAAAGGCGGUUGCCGAAUGAU